rnacentral:rRNA from 1 species
UACGUAGGUGGCAAGCGUUAUCCGGAAUGAUUGGGCGUAAAGGGUGCGUAGGCGGCGGGAUAAGUCUGAAGUGAAAGGCUGCAGCUCAACUGCAGUAUGCUUUGGAAACUGUCCUGCUGGAGUGCAGGAGAGGGCGAUGGAACUCCAUGUGUAGCGGUAAAAUGCGUAGAUAUAUGGAAGAACACCAGUGGCGAAGGCGGUCGCCUGGCCUGCAACUGACGCUGAAGCACGAAAGCGUGGGGAGCAAAUAGG